rfam:Clostridium baratii str. Sullivan, complete genome.
UAAAUAAGCUAGGGGUGCUUUUAUAAAAGCUGAGAGAUAGUUAUUAUAGACUAUUAACCCUUUAACCUGAUAUGGAUAAUGCCAACGGAGGGAAGCGUACUAUUUUAUAU